AGUAAAUGUGCAUAGCAGAGACUGCCACAAAAUUUUAACAAUUACUUGUUGGAUCACAGACUAUUAUUUCAUAACAAUUUCUAAUAAAAUUUUAGUUCUCCGGCUAGACCAAAGCAAAUGACGGCGAGUUCACUGGUGCUUCUGUUAUUAGGAAAUGUGUAAAAAUCGAGAAUGUUUUCAACGAGAUGGGUGAUUGCAGGAAGGGUAUUUGUGUUGUUGGGACUUUUCAUUUUCUUAUCUGCACCUCUAAAUCCCCAACCCAAAACUAAAAGUCUUGAUUUUGUCACAAUAUUUCCGGGUGUGAAAGAGCAAUUAAUUGAAGCAGGUUCAACACUAACAAUCAUGUGCACCAAAGAUGAUAAGAAAAUCGUUACGACGUUGCGAAUUCUUCCUUUUUUGUCUAUUCCCCAAUUAACCGAAAAUAAAACAGCCACAGACAAACGCUUAAGCAAAAACUCUUCUAAGAAUUCAACACACACGACAUUACAGAUGAUUUUUACGAACACCACACCAGAAGACACAGGCUAUUUCAAAUGUCACACUGAUUUUGGAAUAUUUGAGCAAUCCGUUUAUAUUUCAAGUUGGGUUGUUACUUCUGUUACGUCUUUUUCCUAACAAAACAAAUAUUAUCUAAUUUAUUGCAUUCAAAUAAUCUUAUAUUCGCACCUAGGUCACAAAAAACUCAUUUUCAUGGACUCUUUUAUCUUUCAUCCAUUCCUACAACAACCCUUUUUUACUGUCGAAGUGGGGAAACCUUUCGAUUUCCCUUGCAAAACAACUCAUCUCAACGUCACCAUCUCAUUGUUCCGUCUCCGUCAGGCAGCAACGGAAAUAUUUUCUAAUAAUGGCGAAUUCUACGAUAACUUAGACAAGAUAUGGAAUUCUUCAGCCCAAUCAAACAAUUCAAGGUGGGCGUUCAGUUCUAAAACUGGACUGACACUGAAAAACCCUACAUUUUAUGACCAGUCAGUAUAUGUGAUUGUUGGCUCAAUGGAUGUGGAUUCCGUCAACGGAAGACGUUUCAGUAUUCCUCAUGAUCAAAUUUAUAAAGAAUUUCUUGGCUGGCACUUCAAACGGCUUAAACUCAAUACUACUGACGUGAUAUCCUGGAUUUUGAUGGUAUCAGGUAUUCAAAAAAAAAUCAUAAUGUUCCUCGUAAAUUGGGUAAUGCCUAGAACUAACGAGACGCCAUUCGGAAUCGAACUAAAAAGACAAGGGGCGCCUGACGACCCGUUUGAAGGAUCCAACGUUACUUUAACGUGUUGCACUCUCCUCUAUUUCUUGACUCCCCCCACCUGGUCUUUUCAGAUAAACAAAAAAUUGAGAAAUGCGAAAAAUUAACGAGUCGAAUCUACCGCAAGGUAUUCAAACAACAACGGGAAAUAAAUCAUUUAGUAUAUUGCAAUUAUUUGACAUAAACCUAAACACUCCACACACAAAAUUUCAAUGCUCAGAAGAUAAAGAAGCAAAAGAGAUUUAUUUUACAAUUAGAGAAAUAACUUACGAACCAUUGAAUAAUACUGUGACGUUAGAAAAAAAAAUGGCACAGAAUUUGACCUGCAACCGUUUAUCGGAAAUUUUGUUAAUACAAUGGUUCAAAG